rnacentral:rRNA from 1 species
AUUCCUUUGAUUUUGGGGAAGAUAUAAAGCGAGCGGCACUUAUAAUACAUGCUAAGGGAACGGAAAAUANGGGGAUCCCAUGUAAGUACGUCCUAUACAGGUGAGUAAUGUUCUGGAACUAACCAAUUGGAUGGGAAUAGAAUUCCCAUAAUAAAUCUGAUCCCCCGCUGGGGGGUCAUGAUAUGGAACCUGUUGGAAUCCAGUCGAUAGACCAUCGGUGUCUUAUGACGCCGGGGACCAUUUACGGGAUUCUAAUAAAGGGGCUGACACCCGAGAACCAAGUUCCGGAUGUCAGCCCCUAUGGGCCAAUUGAUAGGCUGGAAUCGUAUUAGGUAAAAGGGGAUAGAGCCCCUUGCCAAAGAUGCGUAGCUGAGAGGCCACACUUCCACUGAAACAAGGGGAAGACUCGUAUAGAGGCAGCAGUAAAGAAUAUUGUGCAAUGUAUGAAAGUAUGACACAGAGAUGUCGCAUAAGAUAGACUGUCAAAUCUACGUGCCAGCAGACGCGGUUAUACGUAAGGUCUAAGUUUUUNAUCAGAAAAGGCGUAAAGGGUGUGUAGGCAGGAUCCCAUCGGCAAGGCGUCACCGCCUACGGCGGCAUAGUAUAGCAACCAGCGGCAUCUACGAUGCCGCCGGGGGCUAUGCCUCGGACCCAUGGGAUGUGAGGUUUAAAGGGGUAAAUGGAACUUUUAUGUAGCGGUAGAAUGCUUUAAUAUAAAAUGGAACACCGGAGGCGAAGGCAAUUUACUAAUUAAAUCUGACGCUGAGACACGAAAGUAAGGGGAGCAAACAGGAUUAGAUACCCUGGUAGUCCUUACCGUAAACUAUGAAUAUUAGAUCACAGCAGCCAGAGGCAGCCCCUUCGGCGCCGCCCCNGGCGAAUGUGGUCGACGAAAACUCAAGAAAAUCCCGCCUGAAGAGUACGAUCGCAAGAUUAAAAUUCAAAAAAUUUGGCGGUUCACUAAACCAAUUAGAGGAGCGUGUAGUUUAAUUCGAUAAUCCGCGAUUAACCUUACCAAAACUUGAAUAAUUNNAAAAUAGGGAUAUCCUCGGAUAUCCCGAUAUAGGACCGACUACGUCGGUCCCAUUAACGGUUAGAGAUGACUAUUAAUUACAGGUAUUGCAUGGCCGUCGUCAGUUCGUGUUGUGAAAGAAAUAGAACGAACUUAACCCUUAAUCGUUAUUAUAGAACGGCCCCACGGGGUCCUUUUACGAUAUUAAGGAUGACGUCAGGUCCUUAUGAUCCUAAUGUUUUGGGCUACAUAUGCGCUACAAUGUUUUAUACAAAGAGAAACUUAAAUUGAAAGAGUAAACUCUAAAGUAAAAAUUCGGAUUGCCCCUUGAAAUAGGGGCCUGAAGUUGGAUUUAAUAGUAAUCGGAAAGUAGAGCGUUCUGGUGAAUACGGCUCUAGUGUUCGUACAAAUCGCCCGUCACCUCCACCAAGUAAAUAAUCCCAAAGUGUCAAGCUAUAAUUAAAGUAAUAGGGCUAAAUAUUUAAUAUCGCUAAAGCCAGCGGCGUCUUACGACGCUGGACCAAUAUCUUUAAUUCACUAGACAGGCUUGAUAUGACGGAAAGUUUAUGAGGUUGAGGAAGUCGUAACAUAGCGAGGGUAUUGGAAAAUGUCCUCGGAUUAAU